rnacentral:rRNA from 1 species
AUCCUACGGGAGGCAGCAGUGGGGAAUAUUGCACAAUGGGCGCAAGCCUGAUGCAGCCAUGCCGCGUGUAUGAAGAAGGCCUUCGGGUUGUAAAGUACUUUCAGCAGUGAGGAAGGUGGAGUCGUUAAUAGCGGCCUCAUUUGACGUUUAGCUGCAGAAGAAGCACCGGCUAACUCCGUGCCAGCAGCCGCGGUAAUACGGAGGGUGCGAGCGUUAAUCGGAAUUACUGGGCGUAAAGCGCAUGCAGGUGGUUUGUUAAGUCAGAUGUGAAAGCCCGGGGCUCAACCUCGGAAUUGCAUUUGAAACUGGCAGACUAGAGUACUGUAGAGGGGGUAGAAUUUCAGGUGUAGCGGUGAAAUGCGUAGAGAUCUGAAGGAAUACCGGUGGCGAAGGCGGCCCCCUGGACAGAUACUGACACUCAGAUGCGAAAGCGUGGGGAGCAAACAGGAUUAGAUACCCUGGUAG